GUUUAUUCUGUAAUGGAAAUAUCUUGUGUCGAAUACCUUGGUUAAAUACAAAAACCAUGAUUGUUUAUAGUGAUAAGCACUGGUGAGAGUAGCUUCGUGUGAUGUUGUGUCGAGAUUUUGGAUGAAAAAAAUAUAUUUUACCAAAGUCUUGAGCAAAUCAACUGUAUCUUCUUACAAAAGUUCACAGAUCACUGGAUGUAUAUCAUGCUGUCAUUGGCCAAUUGUUGAACAACUGGUAACAGCAUUCCAUUUUGGACCAUUGUAAAGCUUCGGCAAGUUGGUGGUGGAGCCAUAUUCAUGACCUUGCUGAAUUUGACCAUUGCAGCUUGCCCUCGACCAAUUUCUCGAAAUGCUAGGACUACUUGGACAUUAACUUUGUGUGAACAGCCUUGCUUUUUAGAUGUGUUGAAACUAUGCUUCCUCACAUUCUUUAUUCUUACAUUGAAGGACAAUAUAAUGUGUAUAGCCUUUCCUUUUCCUCAAGUCAACAUGGGAUUCCACACUGCUUUCGCAAUCAGGGCAUUUUAAAAUUUCAUCAAAAACAUCAAACAGCAAAGACAAGUCCAUAAACACGGUACCUUCUUUUGCAGUGUGUAGAUUAUUAAAAGUUUCGCCAAUGCU